rnacentral:rRNA from 1 species
AGAGCGAACGCUGGCGGCAGGCCUAAUACAUGCAAGUCGAACGGAUCCUUCGGGAUUAGUGGCGGACGGGUGAGUAACACGUGGGAACGUGCCCUUUGGUUCGGAACAACUCAGGGAAACUUGAGCUAAUACCGGAUGUGCCCUUCGGGGGAAAGAUUUAUCGCCAUUGGAGCGGCCCGCGUCUGAUUAGCUAGUUGGUGAGGUAAAGGCUCACCAAGGCUACGAUCAGUAGCUGGUCUGAGAGGAUGAUCAGCCACACUGGGACUGAGACACGGCCCAGACUCCUACGGGAGGCAGCAGUAGGGAAUCUUGCGCAAUGGGCGAAAGCCUGACGCAGCCAUGCCGCGUGAAUGAUGAAGGUCUUAGGAUUGUAAAAUUCUUUCAGCGGGGACGAUAAUGACGGUACCCGCAGAAGAACGCCCCGGCUAACUUCGUGCCAGCAGCCGC